UUGUUGGAUUAUCCGCAUCCAACUCGUCCAUCUCUGCAUCCAUUGAAUGCAAAUUUAUUGGGUGAUGCCUUGGAUAUGGAUGCCAAAUUUGAAAUUCCGUGAUUUAUUAGAUUGAGCGUGGACGAGGUGAAAACCGGAGCAUACCGGCCCAUGAUUCCCCUAGAUCUAUUGAUUGUAGUCUAAAAUCUCUUGGUCGCUUAAAUAUUGGUUUAGUUAUAUGUAUAUCGGAGGUCUCAUGGAAUCAAUCAUCUUCCACAACUAUUAACAUUUAUGAUUUUCCAGCUAGCGUGAUUUUCACUCAGUGGAGAACUUUCUGGUGAGACAACUGUCUUCAGUGUAGUCUUUGAGGUCAUACAUUCAUUUUGUUCAACCAACAGUAGAUAGGGAGCAAUCAAAGAGGGUUAGAAAACAGCUUGGAGUUCCAAUCUUUAUCUUUGUACGACUUCAUGUGAAAAGCACGUUCCUGAUGCUUUUCUCCAUUUCUAUUGGCUUGAGCUGCGGAAGAUUUUUAAAGUUGAAGUUACAUAUUUCUGACAAGUUCUUGUCUAAUAAUGAUGCUGGUGCUUUAUCUGGGGAUAACUAAGUGAUUUGUUCUCCUGGAUGCCCAUUGUCUCUUGUUUUGGAACCAUUUGGAGGUAUGGUAGCUAAGAUCAUCCCAAGGAACCCCCGUUGCUGAGCUCAAAAAUUAGAGGUGUUCUUUACAGCUGCAGAUGGAAAAGUGUUGAGAUAAAAGUACUACAGGGAGAAAAGAAGUUUGUGAGAGACAACAAGUCUCUCGUAUGCCUCCAUUUAGAUGGUAUUCUGCUGGCCCCAAGUAUGUUUUUCUAGGACUAUUCUCUUCCUUAAACAUUAUUAAUUGCCAAUUGCACCCUCCCAAAUUCCAAGGCUUGAUAUUUGAGCUCUUUCUGGUAUGAAAGCUGCUUCUUAACUGCUUAAGUCCCGAGGAAUUUGUAAAAAUUGCUAAGCGGUUACUGUUUGCUGUCAACUAGUGUUUGCCAGCAUUAGUUGUCCAAACUCCCCAUUCCUUAUAUAGUGAAGUCGGUGGGCUUCUUUUUUUGCAGUACUUCUUCUUUUGAACAUCUUAUGUAUUCACAUGCAUGUUGAUUAUCUGAGACGAUUUUGUUUGAGCUUGUAAUUUAUAAAUUUCUCUGAUUGUAUUG